UCGAGUCGUCGAUUUGAGUCGUAGGU
rnacentral:sRNA from 1 species